GCCUACGACCAUAUCACCCUGAAUGCGCCCGAUCUCGUCUGAUCUCGGAAGCUAAGCAGGGUCGAGCCUGGUUAGUACUUGGAUGCGAGACUGCCUGGGAAUACCAGGUGUUGUAGGCU
rnacentral:rRNA from 1 species